CCACCUCAGCCUCCCACAGUGCUGGGAUUACCAGCGUGAGCCACCGCGCCCGACCAGGAGCAGGUCCUUAUUGAUAUAAGACAAUCAUGCUGUGCUCCUUCUCCUUGCCAGCCAUUGGUUGACACUCAGCACCUACUCUAUGAGAUGGACUUGAGGGUUAAAUGCCAUAUGUCCAUUUAAGUCUCAUGCAACCUGAAAUGUGCCACCGCUGCAAUCAUCACGUCCCACAUCCUGCCAUCCAGGAGAUUUCCCAGAGCCCCACUCAGCACGUCUCUGUCCCAUCGGUGUGCAUGGGGCACAGGCCGGAAUGGUUGGUCUGAGGCAGGGUCACUCUGUUUCCUCAAAGCCCCGCCCUCUGCGCCCCAGUCACAACAGCUGGCACACGGAGGAGGUGUGCGAAUCUGGGAAGAUGGGUGAAGAACGUCAUAGGAGGCGACCACAAGGUUCUCCACAUAGGCUUGCCAUAUUUAGCAAAUUAAAAUACAGGAUGCAUUUAACAUGCAAAGUUCAGUUGCAUUUAUUUCAAAUAAACAGAUGUAUAUAUGCAUCCUAUAUAUAUAGAUUGGAUAAG